CCGGCACGCUGCGGGUGUAUGUCCUAGCAAAAUCCCGACAUGGUGAAACCAAAAAUUUGGCGGUUUUCCGCAAAGCAUGCAGUAUUGAGGAAUUAUAUCAAAGACCGAUAUAUAAGGUCGGAAUACUAGGCCAGUCCUGGUUACGUUUGACAGUGGUGGAUCCAGGGGGAGGGUUCCGGGGAUUGGAACUCCCCUUUUUUGGACGAUAGAAUGGGGAAAUAUAGUUGGAACACCCUCUUUUUGUCCUGGGUUGGGAACCCCCUUUUAAAAUGGCUGGAUCCGCCCCGAUUGAUCAAUUUUCAUCUUCAUGAAAAGGCGG
rnacentral:lncRNA from 1 species